UUCCUACGGGGGGCAGCAGUGGGGAAUAUUGCACAAUGGGGGGAACCCUGAUGCAGCGACGCCGCGUGAGUGAAGAAGUAUCUCGGUACGUAAAGCUCUAUCAGCAGGGAAGAAAAUGACGGUACCUGACUAAGAAGCCACGGCUAACUACGUGCCAGCAGCCGCGGUAAUACGUAGGUGGCGAGCGUUAUCCGGAUUUAUUGGGCGUAAAGCGUCCGCAGCCGGUUUAUUAAGUAUAGAAUAAAACUUCGGGGCUCAACCCCGUCUCGUUCUAUAAACUGAUAGACUAGAGUGUGGUAGAGGCA
rnacentral:rRNA from 1 species